rnacentral:lncRNA from 1 species
GAUUAUAUGGAUAGUCCACUGCGGCGUCGCCCUGCGGCGUAGAACAUGCGAUUCUCGUAUGCACAAAAGGUCACGGCAAUGAGCAGGUGCCACUGAGCAACCGUGAUAGAAGACCGAUAUGCGAUAGCCACAGAACUUUCGCUCCAGCGUCGCGCGCACCUUGUGGUCUUGGGACCAUCUCAAAUGGCCUUGCGCCCUGUUCCCAAGGUGAUGGACGUUCUUGGAACCGGUAAUUGCGCCUGGUAUGUGUGGGCAAUACUGGACUCUUCUACAGGUAAACGGGUGCUCGAGGGCCGGGAAGAAAUGUGGCAAGUCCUACGUGUUCGUGUUCCUGACGCGGAUUACUAAUUUGUGCGGCUGUGUUGAAUGGGCGGUUUCAAGCAACUUUAGGAUCGAGCGGUGCUGUGAACUACCGAGAUGCUGCGGUCACUCCCUCCACUGCAGAGGCUUUGUUUUCUUUUCUCACGCGGGGCAACUUGAAACUGACAAUUCUGAAAGAGUAAAGCUGGCAUCCCGUUGCUUUUUGGUGGAAGAGAGUUUCUAGGGAGAGAGGUGGUCCAACGCUGAGGAACAGCUGAAAUGCGAAUUCUCUCGAAGACGGCUCAGGC